rnacentral:misc_RNA from 1 species
AGAUUUUGACCCCUAAACACAAAAUGUUUAUCACUAAAUAUAUAGUCCAUGAGACUGUUUAGUUUACGUGUAAGUGGUCACACACUCGCUGAUCGUGUGUCACACACUAAUCGGACAAUAUGGGUGUAGUGAAUGUGUAUCGUCUGCUUAAGGACAAUUUCAUAGGAUUUGCAGUAGUAGGGGUAAUAACAUUUGUCUUUAUUUUACUGCUGAAACUCGUAAUACGCAUUAUAAGCCUGAGAAAUGCAUUCAGGGGUUUCCCCGAGCCGGAAGGAAAACACUGGCUGCUGGGUCACAUGAAAUUCUUUUUGGGCAAAGGAGGUAGCAACGCACGACUCCAAAGAGCCAUAGAAUGGACAACCAAAUACCCCAAAUUUUUCAUCACGUACUUCGGGCCUACAAGAGUGACCUGUACCCUCAACCACCCAGACACCGUCAAAAUUCUCCUCAAAGGGGCAGACCCAAAGCCCGUUGGAUUUGGAGGAGCUUAUCGGCACGCCCUUCCCUGGCUGGGGGAGGGGCUCCUGAUCGCCGGGGGUAAGAGGUGGGCAAGAUCUCGGCGGUUACUGACCCCCGCGUUCCAUUUUGACAUCCUCAAGCCCUACAUUGGCGUAUAUAAAGAAUGCGCAGGUCUGCUGGAGAGAAACAUACAAAGGUUUGCUAAGGAGGGUAAGAGCUUUGAGGUGUUCAGUCAGGUGUGUCUGUGUACCCUGGACAUCAUACUGAGGUGUGCCUUCUCUUACCAGACAGACUGUCAGGAGCAAACUGGCGAGGUCCAUCCAUAUGUAAAAGCAGUCAACGAGAUUGCAGAGCUUUGGUUUUACAGAAACAGAUCCCCUUGGCUGUACCCUGAUUUUAUCUACUAUAACACAGCGGAUGGAAAACGUUUCAAGAAGAACUGUCAAUAUGUCCACGACGUAGCAGCUGACGUCAUGCAAAAGAGACGGAAGGAGCUGGAAGGUUUAGAUCUGAAGUCCAAGCGUUACCUAGAUUUUCUGGACAUCCUCCUCACGGCAAAAGACGAAAACGGGGUGGGACUCUCUGACGAGGAAAUUCGCAAUGAGGUGGACACUUUUCUAUUUGAAGGCCACGAUACCACAGCCAGUGCAAUAUCAUGGAUUCUGUUCUCACUCGCCGAAAACCCGGAAUAUCAGAUCGAAUGUCAGGAAGAAAUAGACAGGGUUAUAUCAGAUACUAAGGAUGGAGAUUUGGGAUGAAAUUGCAUCGGACAACACUUUGCACUAAAUGAGGAAAAAAUAGUCCUAGCCAAACUUCUUCACAGAUUUUCAUUCUCAUUGGAUGAGGAACACAAAGUGGAGCAUAAUGCAGUGGCAGUGAUGAGGGCACUGAACGGCAUACGACUGUAUGCUAAAGAACGGCAGCGAAUAGACUAGUCCCAACAGAACAAAGCAGGAACAAGGAAGCAAUGAAAUGAAGCAUAGCUUCUAUGUAAUGACUAAUGACUGACUACAAUCCAAUUACCAUGUGUCUGUUCAGAAAUCAUUGUGAAAAGAUUUCUUCAUGUCUUAAUGUUCAAAUAAAAUUACAAUUAAUAUUUUAAAGAAAGAAAAUAGUUUUAUUCAUAAAGAAUAUAUAAAUAAAAGUAAAUAC